rnacentral:tRNA from 6 species
GCGGGAGUGGUGGAAUUGGUAGACACGCUGGAUUUAGGUUCCAGUGCCGCAAGGCGUGAGAGUUCGAGUCUCUCCUUCCGCACCA